CGCGAGGCGGAGCAAAGCCCAAAAAUAAACGUCCCAGUUCGGACUGUAGUCUGCAACCCGACUACACGAAGCCGGAAUCGCUAGUAAUCGCAGAUCAGAAUGCUGCGGUGAAUACGUUCCCGGGUCUUGUACACACCGCCCGUCACACCAUGGGAGUCGGAAAUGCCCGAAGUCAGUGGCCCAACCGCAAGGGAGGGAGCUGCCGAAGGCAGGUCCGGUGACUGGGGUGAAGUCGUAACAAGGUACC
rnacentral:rRNA from 1 species